rnacentral:rRNA from 1 species
CCUACGGGUGGCAGCAGUGAGGAAUAUUGGUCAAUGGCCGGAAGGCUGAACCAGCCAAGCCGCGUGAGGGAGGAAGGCGCAGAGCGUCGUAGACCUCUUUUGUCGGGGGACAAAAGCCGGGACUCGUCCGGUCCUGAGGGUACCCGGAGAAAAAGCAUCGGCUAACUCCGUGCCAGCAGCCGCGGUAAUACGGAGGAUGCGAGCGUUAUCCGGAUUUAUUGGGUUUAAAGGGUGCGCAGGCGGGCCGUUAAGCCGGCGGUCAAAUCGCGGGGCUCAACCCCGCCGAGCCGUUGGAACUGGGAGACUAGAGUGCGGCAGAGGGAUGGGGAAUGCGCGGUGUAGCGGUGAAAUGCAUAGAUAUCGCGCAGAACCACGAUUGCGAAGGCAGCGUGCCGGGCCGACACUGACGCUGAGGCACGAAAGCGCGGGGAUCGAACAGGAUUAGAUACCCGAGUAGUC